UACGGAAGGAGCUAGCGUUGUUCGGAAUUACUGGGCGUAAAGCGCGCGUAGGCGGCUUUGUAAGUUAGAGGUGAAAGCCCGGGGCUCAACCCCGGAAUUGCCUUUAAGACUGCAUCGCUUGAAUCCGGGAGAGGUGAGUGGAAUUCCGAGUGUAGAGGUGAAAUUCGUAGAUAUUCGGAAGAACACCAGUGGCGAAGGCGGCUCACUGGACCGGCAUUGACGCUGAGGUGCGAAAGCGUGGGGAGCAAACAGG
rnacentral:rRNA from 1 species